rnacentral:rRNA from 1 species
AUUGAACGCUGCGGCAGGCCUAACACAUGCAAGUCGAGCAGGGUUUUCGGACCUAGCGGCGGACGGGUGAGUAAUGCGUAGGAAGCUGCCCGAUAGAGGGGGAUACCAGUUGGAAACGACUGUUAAUACCGCAUAAUGUCUACGGACCAAAGUGUGGGACCUUCGGGCCACAUGCUAUCGGAUGCGCCUACGUGGGAUUAGCUAGUUGGUGAGGUAAUGGCUCACCAAGGCGACGAUCUCUAGCUGGUUUGAGAGGAUGAUCAGCCACACUGGAACUGAGACACGGUCCAGACUCCUACGGGAGGCAGCAGUGGGGAAUAUUGGACAAUGGGCGCAAGCCUGAUCCAGCCAUGCCGCGUGUGUGAAGAAGGCCUUCGGGUUGUAAAGCACUUUCAGCGAGGAGGAAGGGGUGUGUGUUAAUAGUACACACCUUUGACGUUACUCGCAGAAGAAGCACCGGCUAACUCCGUGCCAGCAGCCGCCGUAAGAC